UUUGACUGUGCAAAGGUAGCAUAAUAAUUAGUUUCUUGAUUGGAAGCUUGUAUGAAGGGUUUGACGAGAAAACUACUGUCUCUUUGAAAAUUAUUUAGAAUUUUAUUUUUAAGUUAAAAAGCUUAAAUUUUUUUAAAAGACGAGAAGACCCUAUAGAGUUUAAUAUUUUGAGAUUAGUAAUAUUUUUAGAAUUAAUUAUAAUAUUUAUUUUUGAAUAUUUUGUUGGGGUGACAAGAAGAUUUAAGUAACUCUUCUUAUAUUUAAACAAUUAUAGUUGAUUAUUUGAUCCGAUUAUUUCGAUUAAAAGAAAAAAUUACCUUAGGGAUAACAGCAUAAUCUUUUUGGGGAGUUCAAAUCUAUAAAGGGGAUUGUGACCUCGAUGUUGGAUUAAAGUUAAUUUCUGGUGCAGAAGCUAGAAAAUUGAGUCUGUUCGACUUUUGAAACUUUACAUGAUCUGAGU
rnacentral:rRNA from 1 species